AUCCAGCUGACGAACCCCAAAUAGGAUGAAACACACGUCCAGCUGGAU
rfam:Schistosoma haematobium scaffold1250_1, whole genome shotgun sequence.